rnacentral:rRNA from 1 species
GAUGAACGCUGGCGGCGUGCCUAAUACAUGCAAGUCGAGCGAACAGAUGAGGAGCUUGCUCCUCUGACGUUAGCGGCGGACGUGUGAGUAACACGUGUAUAACCUACCUAUAAGACUGGGAUAACUUCGGGAAACCGGAGCUAAUACCGGAUAAUAUAUUGAACCGCAUGGUUCAAUAGUGAAAGACGGUUUUGCUGUCACUUAUAGAUGGAUCCGCGCCGCAUUAGCUAGUUGGUAAGGUAACGGCUUACCAAGGCAACGAUGCGUAGCCGACCUGAGAGGGUGAUCGGCCACACUGGAACUGAGACACGGUCCAGACUCCUACGGGAGGCAGCAGUAGGGAAUCUUACGCAAUGGGCGAAAGCAUGACGGAGCAACGCCGCGUGAGUGAUGAAGGUCUUCGGAUCGUAAAACUCUGUUAUUAGGGAAGAACAAAUGUGUAAGUAACUAUGCACGUCUUGACGGUACCUAAUCAGAAAGCCACGGCUAACUACGUG